GGAUGUGGGGGCAAUGUGGCCAUGACAACUGUCACCCCAUUGAUCGCCAGGGUUGAGUCAGCUGAUUCGGCUAGGUGGGUGCUCCCUUCCUCUCUUAAUGCUCCAUGUCCAUCCCUCCCAAAGCUGAGCACUUGGUAGAAGAGGAGGACCUUCCCUGAUAGAGGAUGACCGGUCUUCAAUCAAGGAUAUACGAGUAGCUGUGUUCCUGGUGUUAGAAUUGCCAAACAAGCUCUCAAGAAUGUUCCCUCAGGGCUAGAGACGUAACUCAGUGGUAGAGCACUUUCCUAGACAUGAAUGAAGCCCUAAGUUCAAUUC
rnacentral:snRNA from 1 species